UACGGAGGGCGCAAGCGUUGUCCGGAAUUAUUGGGCGUAAAGAGCUCGUAGGCGGCUUGUCAAGUCGGAUGUGAAAGCCCGGGGCUUAACUCCGGGUCUGCAUUCGAUACGGGCUAGCUAGAGUGUGGUAGGGGAGAUCGGAAUUCCUGGUGUAGCGGUGAAAUGCGCAGAUAUCAGGAGGAACACCGGUGGCGAAGGCGGUUCUCUGGGCCUUACCUGACGCUGAGGAGCGAAAGCGUGGGGAGCAAACAGG
rnacentral:rRNA from 1 species